rnacentral:rRNA from 1 species
UCUACGUAGCAGAGUUUGAUCCUGGCUCAGAGCGAACGCUGGCGGCAGGCUUAACACAUGCAAGUCGAGCGGGCGUAGCAAUACGUCAGCGGCAGACGGGUGAGUAACGCGUGGGAACAUACCUCUUGGUUCGGAACAACACAGGGAAACUUGUGCUAAUACCGGAUAAGCCCUUACGGGGAAAGAUUUAUCGCCGAGAGAUUGGCCCGCGUCUGACUAGCUAGUUGGUAGGGUAAUGGCCUACCAAGGCGACGAUCAGUAGCUGGUCUGAGAGGAUGAUCAGCCACAUUGGGACUGAGACACGGCCCAAACUCCUACGGGAGGCAGCAGUGGGGAAUAUUGGACAAUGGGGGCAACCCUGAUCCAGCCAUGCCGCGUGAGUGAUGAAGGCCCUAGGGUUGUAAAGCUCUUUUGUGCGGGAAGAUAAUGACGGUACCGCAAGAAUAAGCCCCGGCUAACUUCGUGCCAGCCGCCGCGGUAAU